CAGCGCGUCAAUGUUGUGUUGUGCUCAAGGCAAUUUCUUUUCUCGUAGUUUCUCUGAGUCUACGAAAAACAAAAGUAGCUGCUUUGCUCCUCUGUUUUCAGCUUCUCCAUUUAUCGAAAAUCCUUUUUUUUUUUCGAUUUAUCAUCUCUAGUUUCAAUCACUCUUUCGUUGUAAUUGAAAUGAAUAGUUAUUUGUAGAAUCAUUGAAUCCGUUUCUUUUUGAAAAUUUUUAUCAGUUCUCUUCAUCGUUCUGUGAAAGAAUGCCGUCAAAGCGAAUAAAGUAAGGAGUUAAACACAAAAAAGGAAACAAAUAAGCCAAAAUGCGAACGCUUUGCGACGUUUGUGAGAGAGCCGCCGCGAUCAUUUUCUGUGCUGCCGACGAGGCCGCUCUUUGCCGUUCCUGUGACGAAAAGGUUCACAUGUGUAACAAGCUUGCAAGUAGACAUGUGAGAGUUGGGUUUGCUGACCCCAGUGAUGUCCCACGCUGUGAUAUAUGCGAAAAUGCACCAGCUUUCUUUUACUGUGAAGUAGAUGGCAGUUCCCUUUGCUUUCAAUGUGAUAUGAUUGUACAUGUUGGAGGUAAAAGGACCCAUGGGAGAUAUCUCUUGUUGAGGCAGAGAGUUGAGUUUCCAGGGGAUAAGCCUGCUCAUUUGGAGGAACUCGGGUUGCAACCGGUUGAUCUGAAUGAUGUAAGAAAGGACCAAAAAUGGCAACCUAAUUUUGCAGGGAGAGAGAACCAGCAAAAUCAUAAACACUCCCUUGUUCCGGCGCUUGACGGUAAUGAUGAUGGAGACGGAAAGGUAGGUAAUAAGUUGAUUGAUCUAAAUACCAACCCCCAACGGCUGCAUGGCCAGGCUUCAACGAUUCAGGAGCAAGCCAUGGAUGUUUCAAGUAAGAAUAAUCAUGACUCUGCAAGUGUGGUCCCUGUUGGAUCCUUCAAAAGAGAGCCUGAUAAAUGAUCUAGAUAUUGGUGGACAAAUGGUUUAAAGGCUCUCUGUUUCUUAUGUUACAUUCCUUGUUCCAUGAACAAGUAAAAAAAAAAAAGUGUCAACUUUUGGAGAUAAGCUUCACCAUGUAACGUAGUGAAGUGAAGCCAGACAAGUGGCAUUCAUGCGAGUAACCCUUCGUGAACCUUCGACGAUUAUGCUUGCACACAGUCCACAGCUCAUCCCUCGUGACACAUUUCUCAUUGUAUCCACCUUGUCAUAAUCGUCACGUACAACCUCGAGGAAACUAAUGUUGGAGAAGAACAACCUAUGGCCAUGUAGGAUCAUGCAAUACACCCAAUAAUUGUUUUGGAAUGACACUAAUAAUCGUGUCACGACGUGCAUGCAUUGAGGUUAUGAAUCAACACAAUUAACUCUAAAUAUUUAGCGGUGCUUUGCAAGUGUAAUAGGUUGACUUGUAAUAUUUAUAAUGUUACAAUGGAACACUCGAAUAUUCCAAGCAUCAAACUUAAGAGAGUUUGAGGAUAAA